rnacentral:rRNA from 1 species
GACGUAGGAGGCGAGCGUUGUCCGGAUUCAUUGGGCGUAAAGAGCACGCAGGCGGUUUGGCAAGUCGGAUGUGAAAACCCGAAGCUCAACUUCGGGCCUGCAUCCGAAACUGCCCGACUAGAGGUAGGUAGGGGAGAUCGGAAUUCCUGGUGUAGCGGUGAAAUGCGUAGAUAUCUGGAGGAACACCGGUGGCGAAGGCGGCAUCCUGGACCGGCAUUGACGCUGAACAGCGAAAGCCAGGGGAGCAAACGGG